rnacentral:lncRNA from 10 species
CCCGGGGUUGAGGCUGCCCGGCUCGUUGGCAGGCCGGCGAGCGGGCCCGGCGAUCUGGGCCCAGGGCUGGGUACCUGCGGCCGGGGGUCCCGCCCCGAAAAGGGGCUACAGCUCUGAGAUGAAGACGGAGGACGAGCUGCGGGUGCGGCACCUGGAGGAGGAGAACCGAGGAAUUGUGGUGCUUGGAAUAAACAGAGCUUAUGGCAAAAAUUCACUCAGUAAAAAUCUUAUAAAAAUGCUAUCAAAAGCUGUGGAUGCUUUGAAAUCUGAUAAGAAAGUACGGACCAUAAUAAUCAGGAGUGAAGUCCCAGGGAUAUUCUGUGCUGUCUUCAGGUCCUGUGUUGAUGUUAAUGCUGGUCAUCUGUGCCUGAAUUCCAACGGGAGGAGAGUAUAAUGAAGAAUGUCCUACUCCCACUCCCACUUUCCAUCAUGGCCUGAACUAGUUUCUCAGUUGACCCUUGAGCAACAUGAGAGGUUAGGAGAGAUGACACCUCCACCUGCACCCCUGCCCCCACCCCUCACAGUUGAAAAUCCUCCUAUAACUUGACUUCUCAAAAACUGAACUACUAAUAGUCUACUGUUGACUGGAGGCCUCACUGGUAACAUAAAGGGUUGAGUAACAAACAUUUUGUAUGUUAUAUGUAUUAUAUGCUUUAUUCUUACAGUAAAGUAAGCUAAAGAAAAGAAAAUGUUACUAAGAAAACCAUAAGGAAGAGAAAAUACAUUUACUAUCAAGUGGAAGUGGGUCAUCACACAGGUUAUCCUUGUCAUCUUCAUGUUGAGUAGGUUAAGGAGAAAGAGGAGGGGUUGUCUUGCUGUCUCAAAGGGGUGGCAGAGGUGGAAGAAAAUCUGUGUACAAAUAGACCUGAUGUUGUUCAAAGGUCAGCUGCACUUAAAUUUUAAUGUUUUCAUUUGAGCACGUCAGAGAUGCCGUUAAAAAUGACUCAGAGUACUCGUGCCCUUUCUGUGUAAGUAAUGAUUGAUUGGUUGUUGCUAAUUCAUUUCUGACUCUAAUUCCAUUUUUUAAAAAGCCUACCUGUAUAAUAUUUUAGGAUCUGUAGAGAUUUUAAGGAAUAGGAAAUAUAUAUUAGUAAUAACCUGCUGACUAAUCUGCUUCCACUCUUGCCCUUUCCCCACACAGCAGCCCAAGUGAUCUUAAAAAAGUUAAUGGAUCACAUCACUCUGCUAUUUCAGACACUGUUCAGAAAUAAAGUGUGUGGGAGGCAGAAAUGACCCCCAAAGUUGUCCACGUCCUAAUGCUGGAACCUUACAUGGAAACAGGAACUUCGCAGAUGUGAGGAAGGUGAAGAUCUUACGAUGGGGAGAUUUUCCUGAUGUAUCCACUGGGCCCAAUGUAAAGACAAGGGUUCAUACAAGAGGGAGGCAGGAGGACUCUGAGCAGGAGAAAUGACAACAGGAAGCAGAAGUUGGAGAGAAGCAAGGAAGGGGCCAUGAGCCAAGGAAUGUGGACAGCCCCUAGAAGCUGGGAAAGGCAAGGGAGCUCAUCUUCCCUAGUGCCUCCAGAAGGAAUGCAGCCUUGCCAACCCAUUUUAGACUUCUGACCUAGAAUUGUCAGGUAAUCCCUUUAAGCUUGUAGUUAUUUGUCCAGCAGCACCAGGAAACUGAUACCAAGUGUGUCAGGUCUCGCCUACUCUGGCCACAUUGCCUUUUCCCACCAAUUUCCCACUGCCUUUCUUACUCUCUCUGCUUGACAAAGCUCAUUCUUCUCUCCAACUCGUUGUGCUCAGUGUUCUCUUUGUGUUCAGAAAGGCCUCUGCUCUAAUGUCAUCUUAAAUAGCUGUUCCCUCAUCACUUAAACCAAAGCAGGUCUCCCUGCUUCCCCCAGCCUCCAUCACAUUUUUCUAUUUUAGCUUCAUCUCUGAACGUUUCUGUUCUUGAAUUUAUUUUUUACUUAUUGAUUAUCAGUCAGCCUCCCCCGCAGAUAAGCUCCUUUCGUUGGCAUUAGGACAGAGGCCUAUUGCCAGAACAGUGCCUGGCCCAUAGAAGGCACUUAGCAAAUAGUUCAUGGGAUGACUGUGAACCAUUUUGGUUGUUG